GAAGCAAUCUAUUAAUUUAUUAAUCAAAACUUAAUUUUCGUUGUUUAUUUAGUAUUACAAUAUUAAUUUAGAAUUAAUGCCAUAGUAAAAAAACUGUAUCCAUGUAAGUAAAUAUGUCGAUAUAAUUAUAAACUAUCAAUUAAUAGAUAUUUUGUGAAAAAAAAAACAGUUCUUAAAUAAAAACCAUUCUCAAAUGUAUGGUAAGAAAAAUUCAAUUAUAAAAAAAUACAACAAUAGAACUUUAGUUAAUAAUUAUACAAUCUCAUUUAAUAACUACUUUAUAAAAAAAUAAAAACAAUACUUACAUUGCGAAAUAAUUCUUAAAUGCAAUAAAAAUUCAAUAAAAUAGACGAUAUAAGCAAUUUUUGAUGUUCCCCGCAGAUUCAUACACCUCAAAUUUGAUCAGAUUUAGAAAAAGCAGAGCUAGUCGCACGAUUAGACCGAUGGUACUAUCCCAUCAGUCAAUGUUAGCCUUAUUAACUUUUCAUGUAUGUAUGAAAGUUUCUAAAUGGUUUAGUUCUGCUGCUCUAACUGGUUUUUUUUUCUAGCUCUAACAAAGUAAACAUUUCAUCUCAUUAUUCACAUACAUAUGUAUAUCUGCAUGCAUUUGGUGCUCAGAUCUUAUUUGCUUCUCAAAAACAUGUUCUCUCACCUGCAUAUUCGAAUCUUAUCUUAAAGCGAAUACAAAUAAACACAUUAUUCAACAAAUUUUCAUUUGUCACUGAAAUCGUAGCUUUAUGGAUUCUCUAUGAAGCUCCAAGUUAGUCGCUUUUCGCCAAGCUAAUUUUCUACAAUGUUGACUAGUGUAAUCAGAGCAAAAAUAUACCGAGUUCCAUUGUUUGUAUACGUGUGCAUUGAGUUUGCAAUAAGAUUAAUAGCGCAUCGGUGGAACUUUUACUUAGUUGAGCGCAUAUUUUCAAACGAAUUGGUUGAGUUGCGGAUAUGAAAUAGUUGUACCUAACUUAAAAUUAGAACUGAUUGAAAUAGUGCUUAAAUAUUUACGCAAUAUAAAUACCUUACGUUAAAAGGCAACGUAAUUAUUGCAAACCUGCGGCCGUUUUGUGCCAUAAAAACAUAUUACGGCAAAACAUGUUUAUCGAAUUAUUGCUGCUGCUGUUUGCCCUGCUCAUACUCGGCGAUUAUUUACUGAAGAAACGUCGCAAUGAUAUGAUAAAUUAUAUGCCAGGACCCAAGCCGUUGCCAGUGUUGGGUAAUGUGCUCAUGUAUCGUGGUAAAAGCCAAGCAGACAUUAUAAGUUUCAUUAUGCACAAUCGCCAGCAAUAUGGACCAUACUAUCGCGUAUGGCUGCUGAACCAAUUGGCGGUAUUAUGCUCCGAUCCUGCCGACGUUGAGAUAUUACUCAGCAGCUCGAAACAUAUUAAAAAGAAUAACUUCUAUGAUCUACUACAUCCAUGGCUCGGCACCGGUUUACUCGUAAGCAACGGCCGUAAAUGGCAUGCGCGCCGUAAGAUCAUAACACCAACAUUUCAUUUCAAAAUACUCGAGCAAUUUGUGGAAAUAUUCGAUCAACAGAGUACAGUGCUGGUGAAAAAAAUGGUACAAUAUGCUGAUGGAAAAACGGUACUGAAUAUUGCACCGCUAUUAUGUUUGAUGACAUUGGAUAUAAUUGCAGAGACUGCUAUGGGUACCAAAGUAAAUGCGCAAACGAAUCCUGAAUUUCCCUACGUAUCGGCUGUUAUAAGCGUUACAUAUAUGUUCGCCAAGCGCUUCAUAAACGUUUGGCAGCGUAUUGAUUGGCUUUUCCGAUUGCUCUCACGCAAAGAAGCCAAAUUAUUUUACGCCAACAUUAAGCUGAUGCACGAAUUUACCGAUCGCAUCAUUGUCGAACGUCGCGCGGCACUGGAACAAACGCUUAGCGCCAACGAAACUACGCCAACCGCCACCGACACCGAGUUGGGCCUGAAACGACGUAUGGCGUUGCUGGAUGUGCUGCUGCAGUCUAGCAUUGACGGCAAACCACUGAGUAAUGAAGAUAUACGUGAAGAGGUGGACACAUUCAUGUUCGAGGGGCACGAUACCACCUCAAGUGCGCUCACAUUUUGCUUGCACUUGAUCUCCAGGCAUCCGCUUGUACAGGCGAAAUUAUUUGAGGAAAUACGUAAAGUGCUGGGCGCUGACAAAGAUCGUCCAGUAACACAACGCGACCUCGGUGAACUGAAGUACAUGGAGUGUGUAAUCAAGGAGUCCCUGCGUCUAUAUCCAACAGUGCCGCUAAUUGGACGCAACUUCGAGGAGGAUGUUAUUUUACGUGGUAAACCAAUACCCGCCGGCACAAAUAUCACCAUCGGCAUAUAUAUUAUGCAGCGUGAUCCGAAAUAUUUUCCCGAACCCGAUACAUUUCGGCCGGAACGUUUUCUCAACGAAUCCCUUGAAGGUGGCGAGAAAUUAAAUCCGUACGUUUAUGUGCCUUUCAGUGCUGGACCACGCAACUGUAUUGGUCAGAAAUUUGCCAUGUUGGAAAUGAAGAGCACAUUAAGUAAAAUAUUACGGCACUUUGAGUUGCUACCGCUGGGCGAAGACUUGCGGCCAAUAUUAACUAUAGUAUUACGCUCCGAUAAUGGCAGUCAAAUGGGCCUAAAGCCGCGUAAUUAUGCUUCAACGAGCAGCCAAGUAGUAGACCAAGUUUAAGCGGUUGUAAUAAUCGCGUAACCUGUUUUGAAAAUGAAAGGUGCUUUCAAAUAAACAAAUAGUGGGUGAACGUAUGUAUGAAUAAUGAGUCGCGUGAGUUUGAGCAGCACUGUGUGUUGUUCAGUGAAUCAGAACAGUUUGGAAUUUAAAAUUUUAAUAGCACUGCAUUUAAUGUUUUUAUACGGUGAUAGAUCACAAAUAAAUAUUAAUGGUAAUAUAUUGUAUAAGGUAUAGUAAAAAAAAUCCAUUAUUUUUGCAUUUAAUUGUAGGUUUUAUUUAGCAUAGUUAGAAUUAUCCGAAUAUCCGAGAUUGGCACUUGGUGUCAGAUCAAAACUACAUAUAAGGUGGAUGCAAAAGAACAUCCCAACCAAGCUCCCAGAUUUUCUCCAAUUGUUGACAAUACAGCUUCGAACUAAAAGUUUACCGCCGGGAGGCAGCUCAUAGUAGAAGAUUCCCUGCCAAUCCAACCAAACACACAAUAAACCCUUCCUGAAAGUUAAUCCUGGUUUGAUCACCGUUUACGCCGGCUUACCGCGAUUUGAACACGACCAUUUACGCUUGAAUUUGUCGUAAGUGAACCACUUUUCAUCACCACUAACUAUGUUACGUAGUUCAUGAGAAGUAGUCAUCCUUCAGGAUGCCAGCGCUUGACGUGAAUUUCAAUAGGUUCUGCAGCCACACUAUCGAUACCUCUUCCAGUGUCUCACAUCGUAGGGCCCUUAAAGGUUUUAAGCAUUGCCUCGCUAGUGCGGAACAAGUGCACAAGAGAUGCUCCAUUAUUUCCCUGGUGCCACCAAACUGUGAACAGUGAGUAUUCCAAUCAUGUUUCUGCAGUGUCUUCUAUUAAGAGUGAGUAGAAACUUUGUGUAUUUUUGAUCUACCGCUUUGCCUUUUGCAGUUUUGCAUUCCGUUAGAUCAUUCCAUCGAAUUUUAACCUUCCUUGUCAUGCUCUUGUCCAGAUCGUCGUAAAUUUCUUUUCACUAGACCUAAUAUAUAUGCCACUAUAUACAUACAUAUGUAUGUACAUAUGAGUGCCUUGUAUACUUUUUCUUUCUAUACACACAUUUUUUUAUUUAUUGCUUUUAAAUCAUGUUCUGUCAAUAAUAAAUAUAUAGAUUUCGUUAGAAGUACUCAAAUUUGUAUUUCAAGUAUCACUUCCUCUCGCCACAGCACUAAGAAUAUAUACGCAUUAACAGUUGGAGCAGCACUGUGUUUGUUUACUUAUUUCAAUUCAAAGCACUUCCCCUUUCUGUGAUGUCAUGCGAUAAACGUCAACUCACUCACUCACUACCUCAGAGAACGUAUAUCAUAUGUAUUCUCUGCCUACCUGCUACAGAGAACGUAUAUCAUAUAUAUGAUAUGUCUGCCUUGCUACCUCUCUAUGUCAAAUAAUUUUCACACUCUCGCACUAUAUUGAAUGGAAAAGCAAAUCGUGCGAGUUUUAUAAAAUUUUAGUUCUGCUGUUGCUCUUUGCCCGACUGUCAUAAUUUAUUUCGAUUGCGGAAAAUUAUUAAAACAACCAAAGUGCGUAUAAAAAACUAAAUGAUUGCAUUUUUUCAAAGCGCAAGGUGCAAUUUCGUGUCAAUAAUAUUAUUGUAUAAAAUAACCAGCUUCUGCUUGCGCGCAAAAUGUAAAUUAUUUCAAGUUACAUGCAGAGAACGUAUAUCGUAUAUAAUAUACGUUCUCUGUUACAUGCAUUAUAAAAGUUAUGACCGGCAGCUAUCAUGAAAUUGACGUUGUAGUGAUUCACAGCCGACAUUAAUUUGUUUAUAUUGUGUGUUUGUUGUUGGUAUUUGUACGUACACGCGUGUGUGUGUGUAAAAUAGAAAGCAUAAACGCUGUCACGUUCACCUUAAUAACCGAGAUAAUGUGUUUGCAGGGCGCGCAUAGCAGCAAAGCACUUAAGCAGGGAUAAAAUGUGUGAAAGUCAACAGUAAACUCAUUUAUGAUAAGUUAAAAAAAAAUAUUACAAUUUUUUAAAAUAAAUAAUAAAUGUAUGUAAAUAAUUAUGAAGUCACAUAUACUCGUAUGCACAUACACACAUACACGUUUUUUUUUAGCUAUAAGCCAAAACUAUUCUAUUUUAGCAGAGAUAGAUUUAGUGCUGAUAUUUGAGUGUGCGAUAACAGGCCGUUGACAACAGACGUUUAAAAAUAAUUCAUUAAUUAGUUACUUUAAUAAAAAAUGCGUUAGACAGCAGUUCAUGAAGCACAACGAAAAGUGACAGUCGAUGUUAAAGCAUAACUAUAAUAUUAAAUUAUAAAACAUAAUAAAGUGUCUACGUGGCAACCGCACGAUGUUUUGGGAGCUGAUGCUGCUGGCUGCAACAGUUGUCUGCCUCGCCUUACACCACCAAUAUGCGCGCAUGCGUAAUCAGGCGUUCUUCAAGCGUAUACCACCCGUCUCCAAUAUACCAUUCGUGGGUUGUAUGCUCGUGUUGGCGCGCUUUCAGCCAGAUAGUGAGUAAAAAUGCAUAUUUUAAAACACACACGCGCACACGCUGACACACCACACGCAACGCGCCAAAGAAAUUUUCGCCAUACCGCUAAUAGCGGUAAUGCUAAUUGGUACUCUUUGAAUUUGGAAAUAUUGGAACUUGCUGACGUCACAAUAGCACGUGUACCCAAUUGCAUUGCUAAGUUGACGUCAAGCGAAAAUUAAAAAAAAAAAAAUAGAUGGCGCACAAUUAACUUAGC